CGCCAGCAAGAACGAGGAGGACGAGGGGUGAGAGGCAGAGGCGGCACGGGUCCCCCAUGGCUUUAAUCUCUCUGGCAGCCUGCUGCUGGGGCGAGCUUCGGGGGGCAGAGCCCCUUGGUUCGGUCCGGCCCGGCGCGGCUCCGCGUACCUCCCCGUUUGUUUACUUGGCGCCGCGGCGACGUCACGUACCGGGCCGGGCCGGCGAGGGCGGGCCCCCGGCGGGGUUCGGGCGGGCGGCGCCGCACGGGUACCGUCGCCUUUCUCUCUGCCGGGAGCACCGGGAAGCGAGGCGACGGAGAGAGGCCCCGUGGCGCGACAGUAUUCGGCGCGAGCCGGCCUGCUUCCCGGCAGUGGCGAUCGGGCAGCUGCUCGCCGUGGAGCGGCGUGGCUCGGCUCAGCCGGAGGCUGCAAACGUGCAACGCGACUCAGGUCCCAGGCUUGUUCAUGAAAAUGUUUAUCGGCGGCCUUAGCUGGGACACUACAAAGAAAGAUCUGAAGGACUAUUUCUCUAAAUUUGGUGAAGUUGUAGACUGCACUCUGAAGUUAGAUCCUAUCACUGGGCGGUCAAGAGGCUUCGGCUUCGUACUCUUCAAGGACUCAGAGAGUGUGGAUAAGGUCAUGGACCAGAAAGAACAUAAACUGAAUGGAAAGGUCAUCGAUCCAAAAAGAGCUAAAGCCAUGAAAACAAAAGAACCUGUUAAAAAGAUUUUUGUUGGAGGCUUAUCGCCAGACACACCUGAGGAGAAAAUAAGGGAGUAUUUUGGAGGUUUUGGUGAGGUUGAAUCAAUAGAGCUUCCCAUGGACAACAAAACUAACAAGAGACGUGGAUUUUGCUUCAUUACUUUCAAGGAGGAGGAACCAGUGAAGAAAAUAAUGGAAAAGAAAUACCACAAUGUUGGACUUAGUAAAUGUGAAAUAAAAGUAGCCAUGUCAAAGGAACAGUACCAGCAGCAGCAGUGGGGGAGUCGAGGAGGAUUUGUUGGAAGAGCUCGAGGAAGAGCUGGAGGCCCCAGUCAAAACUGGAACCAGGGAUACAGCAGCUACUGGAAUCAGGGAUAUGGGAACUAUGGCUACAACAGUCAAGGGUAUGGAGGUUACGGAGGAUAUGACUACACUGGUUACAACAACUACUAUGGAUAUGGGGACUAUAGCAAUCAGCAGAGUGGUUAUGGGAAAGUAUCUCGGCGAGGUGGUCAUCAAAAUAGCUACAAACCAUACUAAAUUAUUCCAUUUGCAACUUACUGCAAACAGCGGGAACUUCAUUGCAGGCCCUGUGUCGCGCUGACUUCACGAUUCUCACAGUCCCGCUCAAUGCGGACAGGGUACGAGAUGCUCACGCUCUCGAAUGCUGCCGUUUGGUGGAGAUGCAGUAUUUUCUCAUUUGAAGAUUCAUUUGAGGUGGCACAUGCUACCUGCUAAUAGCAGUUCAAACUAAUUUUUGUACCAAGUCCAUGAAUUGGAAGUAAGACGUUGGGUCCUUCUGAAGUUUGAGUUUUCAUUAGUAUGAAAUUGCUUUCACAGUCUUAUUUCUUAAUUGCUAUACUUAAGAAUCAGUUUGUUUUAUGAGACUUCCUCAGUAUCGUAGCGCAAGUCUUGUGUUCAAAAGCCCAGUGUGAUGGUGUCAUGAUGUAGUAGUGUCUUAAUGGUUUUUUAAUAAAUCUUUUUGUAUAAACA